rnacentral:rRNA from 1 species
GAUGAACGCUAGCGGCAGGCCUAACACAUGCAAGUCGAGGGGGAAGUUACUUUCGGGUGACUGAGACCGGCGUACGGGUGCGUAACGCGUAUACAAUCCGCCUUUCACUGGGGGAUAGCCCGAAGAAAUUUGGAUUAAUACCCCAUAGUAUAUAGGGACGGCAUCGUUUUUAUAUUAAAGCUUAGGUGGUGAAAGAUGAGUAUGCGUUCUAUUAGCUAGUUGGAGGGGUAACGGCUCCCCAAGGCGAUGAUAGAUAGGGGUUCUGAGAGGGAUGUCCCCCACACUGGUACUGAGAUACGGACCAGACUCCUACGGGAGGAAGCAGUGAGGAAUAUUGGACAAUGGUCGGAAGACUGAUCCAGCCAUGCCGCGUGCAGGAUGAAGGUCUUAUGGAUUGUAAACUGCUUUUGUAAGGGAAGAAUAAGGGCUACGCGUAGUUUGAUGACGGUACCUUACGAAUAAGCAGCGGCUAACUCCGUG